UACGGAGGGUGCAAGCGUUAUCCGGAUUCACUGGGUUUAAAGGGUGCGUAGGCGGAUUGGUAAGUCCGUGGUGAAAUCUCUAAGCUUAACUUGGAAACUGCCAUGGAUACUAUUAGUCUUGAAUAUUGUGGAGGUUAGCGGAAUAUGUCAUGUAGCGGUGAAAUGCAUAGAUAUGACAUAGAACACCAAUUGCGAAGGCAGCUGGCUACACAAAUAUUGACGCUGAUGCACGAAAGCGUGGGGAUCGAACAGG
rnacentral:rRNA from 1 species